CACGUAGGGGGCAAGCGUUGUCCGGAAUCAUUGGGCGUAAAGCGCGUGUAGGCGGUUUGGUAAGUCUGCUGUGAAAGUCUAGGGCUCAACCCUGGAAAGCCGGUGGAUACUGUCAGACUAGAGUGCGGAAGAGGCGAGUGGAAUUCCUGGUGUAGCGGUGAAAUGCGCAGAUAUCAGGAGGAACACCAAUUGCGAAGGCAGCUCGCUGGGACGUUACUGACGCUGAGACGCGAAAGCGUGGGGAGCGAACAGG
rnacentral:rRNA from 1 species